AUUUGGGUAGCUUAAGUUAAAGCAUAAUAUUGAAGCUAUUAGUAUAAGAUUUUUCUUCUCAAAUA
rnacentral:tRNA from 1 species